UCCACGUAUGUCUAGGGAGAAUGCUGCAUUGUUGAAAUGUGGCCAAUAUAGGGAAAAACGACGUUCCUUAUAGUGGGUUUGUCAGUUUGCUGUACCAAGUCCGAACCGUGUCGAUCUAGUCAUAUUCGCUCCUCUUCACUCCUAUGUCUGUCGUUUCCCUUUAUCCCAGAGAAAAACGAUUGCUUUGAGGCAUCACUUUAAAGUGUAUUAUAACAGGAACAGCCAAAAGUCCAAGUAAAACCAGCCAAGUCGGCAAAAGCCCGUGUACCGCGGAGAUCUUCAAGCUGGCUUGACUUCGAAGCGACAGCCGUGAUGGAAGGGUCACACAGGACUAGAAAAUGCGUGAGGCGCCAGACUGAUCGCAGAGCCGCCCCAGGCCCGCGGUCAGUAGCAUUAUUCUAGCAGUACUGCCGAAAUGGUAUGCUAAUGAAACGAACAGAACUCGGCCGAAAAUGUAAUUUCAGCCUUCCGUGUAGUGCCAAACAUUAGAACAAGUCCGACUGCUGUUAGGUUUAUCCGUGGAUAUUUCUACGUCAAAGGUCUCCGGCGAAUCGAACAUGUGUUAUUGUAGUCCGGCAACCUAAGCCAGCUGUGUUUUCAACCCCAGGACGUGUUUACGUAGUACGAUGGAAUCAGAUAAAGUAAAGAUCAGCAGUAAGCUUCAUUUUAUCGAGCCGCGAUAGUUGUCGAUGUAGUCGUGCUUACGACGCUCUUGACGAUUGGCGGUGAGAUGUCGUGCGGCUGCUGCGUGGGCUCGGUAGGACUG